UAUGUUUUAAUACUCCUAAUAUUGUAGAAGAGGCUGGAAGCUCAACCACAGACCAACGGAAAAAAACGUCAGAACUCACAAGUCACAACAAACCUGAGUAAUCAUAGCCCCUCAUCCCACUUCUUUCCGUUCGGUGUUAGUCAUCAUCGAAACAAGUCCCAAUCACACUGAACCUUGAGAGAAAAUGGUGGUGGUGAUAGAGCAGCAAGAGAUCAAGGAUCGAAACGCCAAUCCCUCCAGGGUGGUUGCCCGUAACGACGCUUCCGACGGUUUUGAAACGGCCAGCGACACCGACCUUGGCAGUGACAACGGAGGGGAUGACGUCGGAGCUAGCAGCCAUGAUCAACCGCUCGAGCAACCGCAGCAGCAACAUCAACAGCAGCAGCUGAAGAUAGAGCAUUUGGAGGCGGAGCCGGAGCAGAGUGUUUCUCCAAGUAAUAGUUGCCCUGGGGAUCUCUUGAUCAAUGAGGAGUUGGAGAAGAAAGCAAUGGUUCAAGCAAAUGAAGCAAAGGCAGAAGGGAACAAGCUUUUUGUGGAUGGGAAGUAUGAGGAAGCAUUAUCCCAGUAUGAACUUGCUUUACAAGUUGCAUCUGACAUGUCUUCAUUGGUUGAAAUACGCUCAAUAUGCCAUGCAAACCGUGCUGUGUGCUUUCAGAAACUGGGAAAAUAUGACAACACAGUUAAAGAAUGCACAAAAGCACUAGAUCUGAAUCCAGUGUACAUUAAAGCUUUAGUAAGAAGAGGAGAAGCUCAUGAAAAGCUUGAACAUUUUGAAGAAGCCAUUGCUGAUAUGAAAAAGAUCUUAGAAAUUGAUCCCUCAAAUGAUCAAGCUAGGAAGGCCAUCAGGCGACUUGAGCCGCUUGCUGCAGAAAAGCGGGAAAUGAUGAAGGAAGAGAUGAUUGCAAAACUAAAAGAAAUGGGAAAUUCUUUCCUGGGCCGUUUUGGGAUGAGUGUUGAUAACUUCAAAGCAGUUAAAGAUCCAAACACUGGUUCCUAUUCUAUCUCAUUCCAGCAUUAAGUGUGGCAGAUCAAAGUCAUAAUAGCAUUAAGCAAGAAAGAUGCAGUCCAUAAUGAUGCAGUGGUGCUAAGCAUUUAAGCAAUGUCCGCGUUGGUCAAGUACUUCAUGUCCUAGCUAGAAGAUGAUGGAACUAAUUCAUUGGGACAUUUUUUUUUUCUUAGGCACCUUGGAAUUCUGGGUUAUUUAAGUAGUGAGGAAGUUGAACAUUGCUAAAUCAUGAGUAAGUGCAAACAUUUGUUCAUGAUGGCAAUAUCUAAGUGUUUUGGGUUUGUUCGCUGCUGCUCCGUCACAGGUUCGUUCAUUGUGUUGUGUUAGUCAUUACUGUUAGAUGUGAUUACUGAUUAACAAGUGGUUGUUUACUUGUUUUACAACAGCCCUUGAUUAAUGCAGAUAAUAUAAAUUGAGUCUUUGAAUUAUACGUAUAUAGUUUAUGCUGAUGUCAUAUCAUUUGAUAAUACCCGAGUUGCUGUCAUAUUGACUAAAUGAAAAAUGAAAAAUUUCAGGGAAGAAAACAGGAGAGAAAAAGAAAAUAUUUGAGUGGGUCUCUCCUUAUUGUUCUCGAUAUCCCAAAAUAAAUAAAAAAGAAAAAUAAAAUCAAAUAAAAUUAAGGUGUGAAUGUUAAUCUGAAAUAUGAUUCAUUAUUCGGAAAAAUGGAAUUAUUUUUUUCCAAGACAGUCAAUUCCCCCUAAAAAAGCCAAUUCCUCAAAACCCUCACAGGCCACAACCUUGAGAACCCUCAUUCUAUACAAGGGAGCCUACAAAUGGAGAGAUAAAUCAAGUUCUUGAUAUUUCUCUGCACAAUAGGUCCUUGUCUCAAGGUUUUGAGUGUCACUCUUCAGUAAUGAUAUUAGUUGAGAUGUGUCAACACUGUUGAAGCCACUGCUUCUAAGGCUUCUAUGCCAAUCACCGAAACUUCUCUCAUCAAUAUCCUCACUUAAUCGGUAAGGAAACACACCAUUAUCUCCAGCAAAUUCAUGUGCGUCAUCUGAUCUAAAUCCUUCUGAAAUAUGGCGGCUUGGGAAAUAUGCGAGAUUUGUUGCAUGGCCAGUGAUGAACGCUGAAGGGAAAACCUUAGGAGGGGUCGACAGCGAAGAAGCAAAUAGAAGAUACGAGUACUCAGCAGAAGCCCUCUCGGUGUUUCUUCUGGUUCUUCUCUCUUUUCUGUGAGCAUUUUGGUGCCCCCUAAAGCUUGAGAACUGUAGAAAGUUCUUGUG